rnacentral:rRNA from 1 species
CAGUCGCCACGGUAAUACGAAGGGGGCUAGCGUUACUCGGAAUUACUGGGCGUAAAGGGCGCGUAGGCGGCACGAUUAGUCAGGCGUGAAAUUCCUGGGCUCAACCUGGGGACUGCGCUUGAUACGGUCGAGCUAGAGGAUGGGAGAGGGUUGUGGAAUUCCCAGUGUAGAGGUGAAAUUCGUAGAUAUUGGGAAGAACACCGGUGGCGAAGGCGGCAACCUGGUCCAUUACUGACGCUGAGGCGCGACAGCGUGGGGAGCAAACAGGAUUAGAUACCCGAGUAGUCCCUGUCUUUAUACA